AGUUGAAGAAGACGAUGGGUUGAAAAUUGGUUGUUGUUGAGGAAAACAUGUUUUGAAACAGGGUUCGCAUUGAGUCCAUGUAAGGUCACUGCCGGUAUCGAAGAUGAGUGUGAGAUCCUUCUUCGGAGUUCCGAUUCCGACGGUGACGAUGUAGUUUCCGGUGCUGAGAGCGAUGCCUGGUUGCGCCGGGAGAGUGGUUUUCGAGUCUUUUGCUCUGUACUUUU
rnacentral:misc_RNA from 1 species